UUACCUUUUUAUUUUGGAAAAUUACUUUAUUUUAUAUAGAUAUAUAGAUAUGUAUGUAUGUAUAUAUAAAAAGGUUCCAUUUCAUUUGUAAAACUCAUUUUUUUCUCUUUUUCUCUGUUUUUUUUCCCCCUACAGAAAACGAUGACGAGGUUAAAGGAGAAAGUAAGUUACAUGACAGUUUCCAAAAUGGUUCUUGCUUCCUGCUGAAGAUGGGCCGCCGUUGGGUUGUAAUACACUCACGCUCCCAGCUUGUGCUUUACAAGAAGAGGGAAUAUAACUAGACUGGUUAUUUUAGGUUAAAAUAGCCAAGAGACAGACGCUUUCGCCUCAAAAAUAUUCUGAGACACAUAAAAGUAGAAGGAACCAAGUCUCUUCAGUCACAAAAUGUCGUACAUCCAGCAUAUACUAGAUUCAAUUAAUUUAAUAAAAUAGAAUAUACAUAGAGAUUCUGCACAAACGUAUUGCUUUCUCCCAACAGCUCCUGGUGUCGGGAGCCUUGGCCACACUGGGCUUUCUCCUUUUCCUUCUUCCCGGAGGCAGGGGCUCCAGGGCUGUGUUCUCUUCAGAUCGACUCUCCGGAAGUUCUGCUCGUCAUCCCCACCAGCCACUGAAGAAGGCAGGUGAGGUGCCUCGUGGCUGCUUGCUGCUUACGUGGGACUUUUCAGAAACGCUGCCCAGGAGGCGGAGCUAGGAUCUGCACCCGGUGGAGAAAGCCAGGACCCAGGCCUGCGCCUGCAGCUCUGGGUCUCUACACUGUAGCACUUCUUCAGGUCCCGUGGGGACAGGGGUUCUUCCUGGCUGCUGGGAAGGAGGUCUCCUGAAAUCCAGCUCAGCUCCGUGUCCAGCUCUAAGCUGCUUCUGGUCUCUGGAGGGUCCUUGGCCCAGCUGGGUUCCAGGCCUGGGCAAGGGGCUGGCAGGCGGAUGUGCUUGGAGACUUUGCUCUGGAUGCCGGAACGCUGCUGCACCUGGAUGCUCGACCCGCCCCAGAAGGAUGAGGACCGGGUCAGAGGGCAGGAGGGCCCACUCACCUCUGACAACAGGUCUUCCCGGCUACCCAGGCCCUGCACAUCCAGGGAGU
rnacentral:lncRNA from 1 species